AUGCCUGCCUUGCUCCCCAUGCUUUCUCAGACAGCGUGUGUUUCUUCCCGUGGUUCUGACACUUCGUGGAACUUUCUCUACACUCCGUGUGGCCGCCGUGCACCAUCCCUGGGGCCUCAUCGUUCAAUGUCAUUUCCUCCUGGAAGCCUCCCCCAGCCCCCAGUCCGAGGGAGGUCGCCAUCUGUCGUGGCUUUCAAAUCUGUCAGCUUGACAAGAGGCACUGCGUCUCCCAGAACUCCCUUCCCUGUAAGUGUCCAGUCAUGAUGAGCCACAGAAGAGGCUCUUGUAGGAGGUGAGGAGGGUGGAGACGAAACCACAGCCCUUCUGGGGCCGACACACAUGGUCUCACGCCUGCCAGCUCCACCUCUUCGACCGGAGGCAGGGGCUGGCCUGAGUCCCUCUCAGCUUCUCCCACUCCUGGGCCAGAUGCAUGUUUUUGUCCAUGACAAAGGGGGUUGGCUUGUGCCUGACUCCUACACCGAGGACAGGGGCACCAACGAGCCUUCUUUACCUCCCCCGCUUCAGGUCCCUCUCCAGCUGCUCCAACCUCGGAUGUGAAAACAACACCAUGACAGAAGCUGCUUAGAUGCUUAGCCAGCUCCCACAAUUGCAUGAGGACAGAGAAACUUAUUCUCAUGGUUCUGGAGACUGGGAAGUCCAAGACCAAGGCUCUGGCAGAUUUGGUGUCUGCUGAGAGCCCUGUUCCUCAGUGAUGACCAUCUUCUCACGGUGUCCUCGCCGGGGGGGACAGGAGAGGGAGUGAUCUCGGGUCUCUUGUAUAAGGGCACUAGUCCCAUUCAUGAAGGCUCCCUCUCGUGACCGCACCACCUCCCAAAGCUCCCAUCUCCUGAUAUCAUCACACUGGGGGUAGGUUUCAAUGUAUGAAUUUAGAGGGGACACGAAUAUUCAGCCCAUAACACCACCCGUGUCUUUGUUUCUUAGCGGCUCUGCUUCUCUGAACCCUGACAGACCAUCCUAACAGCUCCUAUCCAGACUUCUGAUGGUAGCCUUUACGACGCUCGGCAGUAAUUUUGUGUAAUUUCCCAAGCAAUCACUUAACUGUUCAAGCUUUCCUUAGUGUGACAUCCCAUGUAUUUGCUUGAGAGCAGCGCUUCACGAGGGUGGGGACUCAGCAUGACUUGUCCUCAGCUGUAUUCCCUGGGAUGACAUAGUCUCUGGCAUCAACUAGGUGCCCAGCAAAUAUUUGCUGCCUGAAAAACAGAGUGAGUUUUAUUUCCGUUGAAUUUUUGUGUCCCUUGUUUAGCAGGAAUUUGUUUUGACGCUUUAUAGCUGGGACAUGGGCUCAUUUCUUGUGCACACACACAGGGAUGAAAAAGGUCAAUGUGUCGUAAUUGGGGGAAGAAAUAAACGUCUGGUUCUAGAAUCUUUCA
rnacentral:lncRNA from 1 species